rnacentral:rRNA from 1 species
GAUGAACGCUAGCGGGAGGCCUAAUACAUGCAAGUCGAACGCCCCGCAAGGGGAGUGGCGUACGGGUGCGUAACACGUACACAACCUGCCCAAUACUGGAGCAUAUACCCGGGAAACUGGGGGUAAUUCCCCAUAAUAUAUAGAAUCGGCAUCUUUUCUAUAUCAAAGCUUAGGCGGUCUUGGAUGGGUGUGCGUCGGAUUAUCUAGUUGGUGAGGUAACGGCUCACCAAGGCUACGAUCAGUAGCUGGUCUGAGAGGAUGAUCAGCCACACGGGCACUGAGACACGGGCCCGACUCCUACGGGAGGCAGCAGUAGGGAAUAUUGGACAAUGGAGGCAACUCUGAUCCAGCCAUCCCGCGUGAAGGAUUAAGGCCCUCUGGGUUGUAAACUUCUUUUCUCUGGGAAUAAAAACUCGUAUUCAUAUGAGCUUGAAGGUACCAGAGGAAUAAGCACCGGCUAACUCCGUGCCAGCCGCCGCCGUAACAC